rnacentral:rRNA from 1 species
CGGAGGGCGCAAGCGUUGUUCGGAAUUACUGGGCGUAAAGCGCGCGCAGGCGGAAGGUAAGUCUGGAGUGAAAUUCCGGGGCUCAACUCCGGAGCUGCUUUGGAUACUGUCUUUCUAGGGACCGGUAGAGGCCGGUGGAAUUCCCGGUGUAGCGGUGGAAUGCGUAGAGAUCGGGAAGAACACCCGUGGCGAAGGCGGCCGGCUGGGCCGGAUCCGACGCUGAGGCGCGAAAGCGUGGGGAGCAAACAGGAUUAGAUACCCUGGUAGUCCACGCUGUAAACGAUGGGCACUAGGUGCCGGGGGGAGCGACCCCGUCGGUGCCGUAGCUAACGCGAUAAGUGCCCCCGCCUGGGGAGUACGGCCGCAAGGCUG